ACGGAGGGUGCAAGCGUUAUCCGGAUUCACUGGGUUUAAAGGGUGCGUAGGCGGGUAAGUAAGUCCGUGGUGAAAUCUCUGAGCUUAACUCAGAAACUGCCGUGGAUACUAUUUGCCUUGAAUAUUGUGGAGGUGAGCGGAAUAUGUCAUGUAGCGGUGAAAUGCUUAGAUAUGACAUAGAACACCAAUUGCGAAGGCAGCUCACUACACAAUUAUUGACGCUGAGGCACGAAAGCGUGGGGAUCAAACAGGAUUAGAUACCCUGGUAGUCCACGCCCUAAACGAUGAUUACUCGACAUCAGCGAUACACUGUUGGUGUCUGAGCGAAAGCAUUAAGUAAUCCACCUGGGAAGUACGUUCGCAAGAAUG
rnacentral:rRNA from 1 species